AACGCUGGCGGCGUGCCUAAUACAUGCAAGUCGAACGGUCUUUCUAUGGAAGCUUGCUUCCACUGAGAAGAUAGUGGCGGACGGGUGAGUAACACGUGGGUAACCUGCCCAUAAGAGGGGGAUAACAUCCGGAAACGGGUGCUGAUACCGCAUAGUUUUCUUGAUCGCAUGAUUGAGAAAGGAAAGACGGCCUUUGUGCUGUCGCUUAUGGAUGGACCCGCGGCGUAUUAGUUAGUUGGUGAGGUAAUGGCUCACCAAGACGAUGAUACGUAGCCGACCUGAGAGGGUGAUCGGCCACAUUGGGACUGAGACACGGCCCAAACUCCUACGGGAGGCAGCAGUAGGGAAUCUUCCGCAAUGGACGAAAGUCUGACGGAGCAACGCCGCGUGAGUGAAGAAGGUUUUUCCGGAUCGUAAAACUCUGUUGUCAGAGAAGAACAAGUUGGAGAGUAACUGCUCCAGCCUUGACGGUAUCUGACCAGAAAGCCACGGCUAACUACGUGCCAGCAGCCGC
rnacentral:rRNA from 1 species